rnacentral:rRNA from 1 species
AUUGAACGCUGGCGGCAGGCCUAACACAUGCAAGUCGAACGAGUGGCGGACGGGUGAGUAAUGUCUGGGAAACUGCCCGAUGGAGGGGGAUAACUACUGGAAACGGUAGCUAUUACCGCAUACCAUCGGAUGUGCCCAGAUUGGAUUAGCUAGUAGGUGGGGUAACGGCUUACCUAGGCGACGAUCCAUAGCUGGUCUGAGAGGAUGACCAGACACACUGGAACUGAGACACGGUCCAGACUCCUACGGGAGGCAGCAGUGGGGAAUCUUGCACAAUGGGCGAAAGCCUGACGCAGCAAUGCCGCGUGUGUGAAGAAGGUCUUCGGGUGGUAAAGUACUGUCAGCGGGGAGGCGGUACUCAAAGAGGAAGCACCGGCUAACUCCGUGCCAGCAGCCGCGGUAAUAC